CAGUAGCCGCGGUAAUACAGAGGAUGCAAGCGUUAUCCGGAAUGAUUGGGCGUAAAGCGUGCGUAGGCGGUUUGUUAAGUCUGCUGUGAAAUCCCCGGGCUCAACCUGGGAAUGGCAGUGGAUACUGGCAAGCUAGAGUGUGUCAGAGGAUGGUGGAAUUCCCGGUGUAGCGGUGAAAUGCGUAGAGAUCGGGAGGAACAUCAGUGGCGAAGGCGGCCAUCUGGGACAACACUGACGCUGAGGCACGAAAGCGUGGGGAGCAAACAGGAUUAGAUACCCCCGUAGUCCCUGUCUCUUAUAC
rnacentral:rRNA from 1 species